rnacentral:lncRNA from 1 species
GCUGGAAGCUGAGCAGCGUUCGCGGAGGCCCGCGCCUUCAAGCCGGUAGCCGCCAGCUUCGGUUCCCGCGGCACUCAGGCUUCGUCCAUUUCUGGAUGACGGAGCAGCCGCCGAGCGAGGCGGCACAC